AACGAACGCUGGCGGCAUGCCUAACACAUGCAAGUCGAACGAGACCUUCGGGGCUCGGGGCGCACGGGUGCGUCACGCGGGGGCACCUGCCCAUAGGCUCGGUAUCACCCCCCGACAGGGGUUCUAACAGCGGGUAACGUCUUCGGGCCAAAGAUUUAUCGUCUUUGUCUGGGCCCGCGUUGGAUUAGCUAGUUGGGAGGGUAAAAGCCUGCCAAGGCGACGAUCCAUAGCUGGUCUGAGAGGAUGAUCAGCCACACUGGGACUGAGACACGGCCCAGACUCCUACGGGAGGCAGCAGUGGGGAAUAUUGGACAAUGGGCGAAAGCCUGAUCCAGCCAUGCCGCGUGAGUGAUGAAGGCCUUAGGGUUGUAAAGCUCUUUUACCCGGGAUGAUAAUGACGGUACCGGGAGAAUAAGCCCCGGCUAACUCCGUG
rnacentral:rRNA from 1 species